GUUCAUCAGGCUACUCACUUGAUUGCGCCUCGUAAACAGGCCUUGAAACGCUGAGAUCAACAUCAUCUUUACGAAUCCUAGGAAUGAUAAUGCCAUGGGGGGGGCAGCAGCACCACUCCACCCUCAUCUCACUGUGCUGCUGCCUCCUUGGUAUCAGAUGGAUGCUGCCUGCUGGCCUGAAACCCUGAAGAAUGUGCCAUCUAACCAUGUGACCGGUCAGCUGGGUCUGAACAGCCCUGUUUGGGGGAAACCUUCCUUCACACGUGUGGGGAGUGAACCGCACGGCUUACAGCCCAUUUUCCACUUCAGGAAAGCCAAGGCAGGCAUUUCAUGAUGGGUGGGUUGGUGAUGGGAUCUGGCCUUUGUGAGCAUAAAUACAAAUGUCCGUUCUCUUCAAGAUAAAGGGAAAUAAAGUAUUGUCAGUCUGGCCUUUCAUCCUGUUUGGUCACACUGUAUAGACCAUCACCUGUCAAACUGAAUCCACAGUGGGAUGAGUAUCUGCAGGUUUUCGCUCCUCUCUUGUACUUGAUUGAUCAAUUAAGGUCAUCGAUUAGUUAGGAACUCCCCUUGGUUGUCUAGGUUUUAAUUGGAAAUAACAAAAACCAGCAUGCACUCGGCCCUCCACGGAAUGAGUUUGACACCCCAGCUGUACAAUCUAAUAUUGAUGACAAAAGGUUAUCUUGAGGCUGUCAAGUGUCCUACUUAUAUAUAUCAGUACACUCGUAACAACUUAAGUAUUAAGAAACUUCUAUUAGAUCAAAUAAACCUCAACUAGCAAAUAAGCCAUUCAUGUUUUGGUUGAACAAAUUCGACACAUUGACCUCCAUACAAAAACUCCUUACUUGGUGGGCGAAACAAUAAAAAAAAAAAAAGAACAGUACUUGCUGGUGGGAGACAGAUUUUCCACCGAGUUGUGCCUCUCUCUUCCUCUCUGAACAUACUGAUAGGCUUCAGGACGAGCAGAAACAAUUAUCGCAAUUCAAACACAAGGUUUCAAACUUACCGAUUCAAUUGCACUGUAAACAAAUAGGAGAAAACAUCAUUUCCUCUGCCAAAGCCAUGGUAAUGUUUACAGAGUCAGACUCUCGUUUUGAUUCCUCAAUACAGCCAACAUCACCAUCUAUAAUAUGCAUCCUGUUGUUUCCAUGGAAAGUCGUUUCCCCAACGACAUUGCAGAGUAGGGCUAUGUCAUGUGCUUUUCCAACAGAAUAAUAAAAUAACUGACAUUGAUAUAAUGUAAUUUAGAGUUUUGAUCACUACUUCGGUAUCCCACGGAUAACAUUGCAAAACUGGAUAUCGUUUUAUGUGCCCACAAAUCAAAUUUUGUGGAUGACCAUCUUAAAUUGUGCUCAUCAAAGGCUUUUAAAUACCACUGUUUUGUGUUCUACUUGUAGCCCUGGUUGCCCUGAAAAGAAAUGGUAAAACACUUCAUUGUGAGGCUAAAUAUAUGGGCUAGACAUGUAGAUAAAUGAAAGUCAGAUAAAUGAAAAGCCCAUUUUUGCUGGGACUGAUAGGGUUAAUCCUCGCUAGCAAUACAGUUUUGGAAACCCUCUCAUAAGCGAGAAAGAAUCUUUCAAACACAAAAUAUACACUUACUGUACACAAUUUAGUAAAGUUGAACCAGGCUGUUUUCACAAUGACACAUCCUCUCACCAUGCGCUCACAUUUCCAUUGGACACUACAAUUCAACAUUUCCGGCUGGAUCGCAAGUGCUUCUGAAAAUACAGCCGGGUGCAACUUUGCUAAACAGCAUACACUAAGUGUAUCUUUUGUAUAAGCAAGCUUGGCAUAUUUGCGAUUAAACACUGUUUGGGCAACAUCUGGCAAUAAGGGACGUGGAAUAACUACUGUAAUGCAAUUACAUUUGAGUCAUAAGGACUCGUGGGCCAAUUCUCAUGGAAAGAUUAAACGGUAAAAAUCUGUCAAGGCACACAUAGAAUUGUGUAAUUACAUGCAGCAACAGUUCCUGGUUUGGGUUUUUGUCAUAGAUUUUUGGACAAAUCAGGAUUGGACGAAGGCAGUGCUUGAACUGAUGAUUUUCAAGCCCGGGUGCAGAUGAUAAACCAAUUUCCACUGGAUUCCACUGCCACAAAGUCAAAAUUGUCUGCAUUGUAAAAAUUCAUUAAAUCAAAACAAAACAUUUGGGGGGGGGGGGGGGGGAUACCUAGUCAGUUGCACAACUGAAUGCAUUCAACCUAUAUGUGUCUUCCGCAUUUAACCUAACCCCUCUGAAUCAGAGAGGUGCGGGGGGCUGCUUUAAAUCGGCCCAUCUGUGCCCGGGGAGCCCAUCUGUGCCCGUUGUUGUUGAGGGUUAACUGCCUUGCUUUCCCCAUAGAAAUGGCUGAACGAACCAGAGGUAACUCAUUUCCGGUUAUUAGGACUACAAGCAUGACGAGCUCUACUGCAUUCCGCCCAGCAAUAAAACAGGAAGUGACAAACUUUCAUGAGAUAAGAGAAUUUUACUUCUGGGUAACAGAGAUUACACCACUGACCUCAUGGUCUAGGAAUUCUCAAGACUGACUGGUGACCUUUGACACAUAGGCUACAGACUCCUUGGCCAAUACUACUAAAUGAAAAACUGGUCUAUUGUAUAGGCCCUGUAGCAUAUGGAGCUAUACAUCUAACACAAUUGUCCAUAACUUCCCAAUAGUAUCAGACUCUCAAGGUUUAUUAAGGUCACUGUAUGAAUUGUACCUGCAAGCACUGUAUUAUUUAAAAAACAAUUGGUUUGAUAUUCAAGUAUAGAGUAAACAGUAUGUCAGUUUCCAUUGCCAAGUUAAUUCUACAGAGCAUGACAGCCCCGACAUAUAAUUUUUUCUGCAUUCUUGGGGGAACUUCCAUGUCGGUCUCAACCAUUUUUGGAUGUACAAGUAGCCCAAAAAUCACAUGUUGCUCUGCACCCACUCAUGUGCAAAUGAUCAUUAGGCCUAUGUUCUUAUUAGUCUUCCCAAGACCUCACUGUGGAUAGGCUGGUCAUGCCUAGAAAGAAUACAGCUUUUGUUAAAUUAGCUAACCAUAACCGAAUUCUCCUAACCUGCUAUGUUAAAUUCUAACCUGCUACAAAAAGUCAAAAAUGACAAAAGCUGUAUCCAUUCUAGUCACAACGAAUAGGCCAGGUGCCCCAGGGAUACUAUAGUUCCACAUGUUGAACACUUCCAGGUAAUGGCUAAACAAGAUUGCCGAAAAUUGUGAAAUGUGGUAACAAUUUCGUGUGAUGAGCUGUACGUGACAAUCAAUGUCAAACAAAUGCUUGUUUUGUAAGUGGAAUCAAGCAAAACAGCAUUGAACUCGAUAACAGCUGCCCAGAUCGAGAGGAACACUUCACUCAAAGUCGUAGCAAUCAAGUCAAUGUUCUGCCAUUUCGACAUUGACCAUUGGUAGAGGUUUCAAUGCCAAAUAUGUGUUCUUACAUUGGCUAGCAAGUUAGCUAGCUAACGUUAAUUUAGCUAGCUAAAAGAUGAGCAGCUAACGUUUUCUGUCACAACAACAGCAACCUCGGCUUGGAUGGACAUUCAUACAAACACAAUAUAUAGCUAUGUCCGUAACGUACCUCUUUAUCUGCUAAACACACCGGAAUCGCAUCGCAAAUUGCACUUCUUCAAAAGCCUGACCGUAAACAGAAGAAAGUCUACCAUUUGAUGCCUGUCUGGCUGUCAGCACUACCGGUCUCUCUAACUUGAUGACGAGGAAAAUAUUGACUAAUGUGGUUUAGUCAACCAAUCAGGCGCGGCAAGCCAAUCCCGUAGAUCCUGAUACGUUGGUGAAGGCUGAGCGCUCGUGAAAACGUCAAAGGAAAGGAUGACACCACCGUGCAGUGUACGAAAUCUAAUAACAGUAUACCGCAAGUCAACAUGUGGGUCCUAAAAUAAUA
rnacentral:lncRNA from 8 species